AUUUGUCUGGUUAAUUCCGAUAACGAACGAGACCUUAACCUGCUAACUAGUUUCUGAUAUCCUAUAUCAGUUUACUUCUUAGAGGGACUAUGUAAAAUAAAUACAUGGAAGUUUGAGGCAAUAACAGGUCUGUGAUGCCCUUAUAUGUCCUGGGCUGCACGCGUGCUACACUGAUGCAUACAACAAGUGCCUCACCAGACAUGGUAUGGCAAUCUCGAAUAUGCAUCGUGAUGGGGAUAGAUCUUUGCAAUUAUAGAUCUUGAACGAGGAAUUCCUAGUAAGUGCAAGUCAUCAUCUUGCAUUGAUUAUGUCCCUGCCCUUUGUACACACCGCCCGUCGCUCCUACCGAUACCGGGUGAUCCGGUGAACCUUUUGGACCUCUUUUGAGGAAAGAUAAGUAAACCAUAUCACCUAGAGGAAGGAGAAGUCGUAACAAGGUUUCCGUAGGUGAACCUGCRGAAGGAUCA
rnacentral:rRNA from 1 species